CGGGGCGUAGCGCAGCUUGGUAGCGCACCUGAAUGGGGUUCAGGGGGUCGCAGGUUCAAAUCCUGUCGCCCCGA
rnacentral:tRNA from 1 species